AACAUGGCUCAUGCAAAUAACAUUCAUUAACAGUUCAACUUAGCAUUUCAAUUUCCCACGUCCAAUUAACACCAACCAUUUCCAACUUAAGAUUAAAUUUAUAAAUGCUAACUCCUAAAACUAGCAUCAGUUCCCUUUCUUUAACUUUGCUUCAACUAAUCAACACUAACCUAACCACUAACUUAGUCAACAUUCUUUUGACAGUUCAGUUUACUAAUACAAUUCAAUAACGAGUUUUUUUACACUAGCUCUCAAGUCUCCAAUUUUAAACAUUCAAGCUAACCAUCAGGUUUUAACUGAUUCCAAACCUUAACCAUUAAUAGUCCUAGCAUACUAAUUAGCAUAGCAGCUCAAUAUUCAAAAAGUUCUAAAUAUUUCAUUUAACUUCUGCUAACAAUCACUCAUAUUUGCAUUAAUCAUAGCAGGUUUUGCAUCAAAUAAUCAAGCAAUGCAACCACAUCCUAGUAACAUGCUACUAACAGUUCAUCAACAUAGUAUUUCACUUCUAAACUCCAACAGUCCAACUAGCUAAAUCCAGAAAUGUCUAACCUUCACAAUCAGUUAACAAUAAGCUUGAAUAGCUAUUAACCGUAACAAUCAAAU
rnacentral:lncRNA from 1 species